GUCUCAAGAUGUGUUCUCCUGCCGGUCCAUGUAGAGUCUGUGGAACACAGCGUCAUAGACGGUGACAACCCCGUUCAUGACAUGGAUCCCGGUGCUGUGUGAUCCACUCUCGAAGAGUCGAGUCGUUUGGGAAUGCAGUUCAAAUUGGGUGGUAAAUUCCAUCUAAAGCUAAAUAUUGGGGAGAGAACCGAUAGCAAACAAGUACCGUGAGGGAAAGAUGAAAAGCACUCUGGAAAGAGAGUUAACAGUAGGUGAAAUUGUUGAAAGGGAAACGAUAAAGUCAGACGUGCGUGAAGCGGUUCAGCUUUAGUUCCAUACGAGUGUACUCCGUAUCUUUGCAGGCCAACAUCGGUUUUGUUAGUCGGAUAACGGUAUGAGAAAUGUGGCACCAUCGGGUGUGUUAGAGGCUCAGACUGAAGACCAUUGAUGGGACCGAGGAACCCAACGCGCCCGGGGCAAGGUUCCGACCUUUUCGCGCUAGCAUGUUGCAAAAUGGCUUUAACGACCCGUCU
rnacentral:rRNA from 1 species